rnacentral:rRNA from 1 species
AGAGUUUGAUCCUGGCUCAGGAUGAACGCUAGCGACAGGCUUAACACAUGCAAGUCGAGAGGGCAGCGGGAGGCGUAGCAAUAUGCCUGCCGGCGACCGACGCACGGAGUGAGUAACACGUAUGUAACCUGCCCUAUGCAGGGGGAUAACCCGGAGAAAUCCGGCCUAAUACCGCGUAACACCUUAGGGGAGCAUUCUCUUGAGGUUAAAGGAGAGAUCCGGCAUAGGAUGGACAUGCGUCGCAUUAGGUAGACGGCGGGGUAACGGCCCACCGUGCCGACGAUGCGUAGGGGUUCUGAGAGGAAGGCCCCCCACACUGGUACUGAGACACGGACCAGACUCCUACGGGAGGCAGCAGUGAGGAAUAUUGGUCAAUGGCUGAGAGGCUGAACCAGCCAAGUCGCGUGAGGGAAGAAUGUCCUAAGGAUUGUAAACCUCUUUUGUCGGGGAGCAAAAAGGCUCUGCGGAGUCGUAUUGAGAGUACCCGAAGAAAAAGCAUCGGCUAACUCCGUGCCAGCAGCCGCGGUAAUACGGAGGAUGCGAGCGUUAUCCGGAUUUAUUGGGUUUAAAGGGUGCGCAGGCGGCGUGUCAAGCAAGCGGUAAAAUAGCGGGGCUCAACCCCGUCGAGCCGUUUGAACUGGCGCGCUUGAGUUCAGGCGAGGUAGGCGGAAUUCGUGGUGUAGCGGUGAAAUGCAUAGAUAUCACGAAGAACUCCGAUUGCGAAGGCAGCUUACCAGUCUGCGACUGACGCUCAGGCACGAAAGUGUGGGUAUCGAACAGGAUUAGAUACCCUGGUAGUCCACACAGUAAACGAUGAGCG